rnacentral:lncRNA from 1 species
GUAUUAUUUUCUCCAUCUCACAGAUGUGGAAACUGAAGCUCACUGAAGUUAAGCAACCCGGUCAAAGUCACAUAAGGACUAAAGGGUGGAGCCCAGAGGAAAUGUGUUUUCGUUAGACUCUGAGUGACCCUGAGGCCCAGGCCAGGCCAGCUUUGCUCCCCUUUGUGUCCCCAACACCAGGCAGAGUGCGUGGAAUACAGCAGGCACUUGAGAAACAGAUUCUGGAUGAAAGGAUGAAGAGCUCCCAAGAUGGCGGCAAGCCUUUUGCUCUCUGACCUGGGGUUCUUGGCCUCACGGAUUCCAAGGAAUGGAACCUUGGCCCAUGCGCAAGGCAAGUUACUUCUAUAGAAGGAUGCACCCUUACAGAUGGAGCAAUGGUGAGUGCACACUUGGACAAGGGAGGGGAAGGGGUUCUUAUCCCUGACACACGUGGCCCCUGCUGCUGUGUCGUUCCCCUACUGGUUAGGGUUAGACUGCACAGGCUAAAAUAAUUCUGAUUGGCUAAUUUAAAGAGAGUGACAGGGUGAGUGGUUUGGCAGGAAAAAUGGUUAUGACAGAGCAGGUAAUCGGAAUGAGUCAGGUGGAGCAGGUAAUCAGAAUGAGUCAGGUGGAGCAGGUAAUCGGAAUGAGUCAGGGUGGAGCAGGUAAUCGGAAUGAGUCAGGUGGAGCAGGUAAUCAGAAUGAGUCAGGGUGGAGCAGGUAAUCGAAAAAGGUUGCUUUAUGAGGAAGUUAAGUUUAAAAGUAGAAGGCAAAGAAUUGAACAUACUGACAUAUUGAUUCUUUGAAAAGAAACUUAGAACUCAUAUCUAACAGGGAGAAAGAUGGGGCACACAAUGGCACAUACUGCAGACCGGGCUGCUUCCUCCCAAGGCCCUGGGGAGCCCUCUUGAGGACUUGAGGUUUUAGAAAAGGGCAUUGUCAGGAGCUGGCAGCCACCUGUGAAUUGGUGGUAAUGAAUGUACUAACACUGUUACCUGUUAGGAAGAGUAAGAAACACAGUCAGAAGAUGCUUGGGAGGACCUUGGAGGAGAGGCAAGUUCUGGGAAUUUCUGUGGGUAGGCUUUAGGGGAUUUUGUAGCAUUUGGGAAAGUGUUUUGAGCCAAAGCAGAAGACCAGCCUGUGGCCUUGGCUUUACAAAGUAUUUGUCAGGGCUGAGGUCUAACAGAGUGAUGGCCUGACCUAAGCUGGAGGACAGACAGCUGAAGGUCAGUGAUCAGAAGGCUCUACACAGCAGAGAGAGACCAAGAGUUUAAUCUUGCACCAAGCUAAUUGAGCUACUGAGAGCGUGUUUCUGUGAUUUAUAAACCUAUCUGUCCUUUGUGUGCCAAGAUAUUACUUCUCAGUGUCAUAAAAAUUGGCAUAUAAAAAUAUCUGUCUUCCUUUCCCAGGUUAACCUUCUCCAGGAUCCUGUAAUUAUCUCACUCCAUCCUCUCCCUGUCCCCUUUGUGUUUUGUAGUGAUGACUCACUCAUUGCAGUUUGCCUGGGACUUUACUGGUCUAAGUGUUACAGGAAAGGGUUUCCCAUCCAGAACCCAAGAGAGGGUUCUUGGAUCUCAUGCAAGAAAGAACUCAGGGCAAGUCUUCAGUGCAAAGUGAAAGCGAGUUUAUUAAGAAAGUAAAGGAAUAAAAGAAUGGCUACUCCAUAGACAGAGCAGGCCCUAGGGCUGCUGGUUGCUCAUUUUUACAGUUAUUUUUUGAUAAUAUGCUAAACAACGGGUGAAUUAUUCAUGCUUCCCAUUUUUAGAACAUAUAGGGCAACUUACUGAUGUUGCCAUGGCAUUUGUAAACUGUCAUGAUACUGGUGGGAGUGUAGCAGUGAAGACAACCAGAGGUCACUCUCGUCGCCAUCUUGGUUUUGGUGGGUUUUGACUGGCUCCUUUAUUGCAAGCUGUUUUAUCAGCAAGGUCUUUAUGACCUGUAUUUUGUGCUGACCUCCUAUCUCAUCCUGUGACUUAGAAUGCCUUAACUGUCUGGGAAUGUAGCCCAGUAGGUUUCAGCCUGAUUUUACCCAGCUCCUAUUUAACAUGGAGUUGCUCUGGUUCACACGCCUCUGACAUAAGCACUGAAAGUCCCAUGACCCAGGAAACCCCCA